CCGCACGCGCGCAUCCGGGGCCCUCGGCAACGCCCGCCCGUGCGACGCCGAGCCGCAGUCACCGCCGCUCCCCACGCCGUGACCGGCAUCGAACACCUACCGGGCACGCGCGCUUGGUUCGCCAGCGUGGCGCCAGCUCAGCAUCUCGACCCCACCUCGUCAGCGACACGGGCUAGACUCCCGCGCACAUUUGCUUCUUCCCGGAUAGGAUCACGAAGUGGUGCGGUGAGAUACGACGAGUUCUCCGGAUGUUCCUCGGCAACCUUUAACAGGCAAGCAUUUCCCCUAUACUUCUGCCUCUGCAGAAGUCGCUCACCUAUUUUAUUUUGCUUUCUCCCUCAUGCUAUCCUUAAGUUGCGUUCUUGUCACGUGUCCUUUCCACUUGUUACCUCAAGCAGCCCAUAUUGCCACCACCACCUCCUACGGCUAUUGUUUGGUUAUCGAGUCUGCCCUUGCGAGUCGUAGUGCAUGCUAGUGCUGUUUUAUCUUGUUACCGUUGUUGUUAUCUUAUCGGGUUAUAUGUUGGGAAGAAUCAUGGUUACUUUAGUUGUUGAUAUUUGUUUAGCGGAGGCAUCGGUGGGUCAGCUGAUCGUUUUGUGAUGGCUCACUUGUGUUUCCUAAAUAUCUUAGGACCCCGAGUUCUUGUUAUCUGUUCCGAGACUGAGCGCUCUAACCACACGUGGGUAUGCUUACCGGGUCUCCCCUCGACCACUGCCGGAACCUACAGCCUUGUCCAGUGGCCACAACUAGUUUGGAUGUUUGUUUUGUUUCUCCCGGGCGUGCAAGCUUGUUUCUUUGUGGUCAGAUGAUAUGAUGUUACUCUUGGGGAAGCCAUGUUGCCUUGUAACCCCGUUGUCUCUUGCACGCUCGUAGGAUGCGGUACGUAUUGCUGAAGAUGGAUUCACCCUGCGGGCACUGUUUCCAUCCGAAAGCCGUAGACGCAAACAGCUAAGUCCGCAUCGGAGUUCCGAUCGGGCUCUGAAACGGGUUAACUUAGUUAGGUGGCUUCCUGGACAUUGUUGUAGUGAAGGAGAGUGCGUGUCGUGAUAUCCACCUGUCGUAAGUGGGUUGAUCGUGCGUGUGGGCACAUUUGGGCACCCAUGCAGGGUUACAAUCUUAUCGAUAAGCCGUGUCCGCGGUUAUGGACGACUUGGAGCUGUAUGACUUGACCAUAGACAACUUACACCUGUUGUUUCAAUACUAUUAACUUGCAUAGUAAGAUAGAACAACUUAAAUAAUAAAUGGUUAAAACUUGACAACCGUGUGGGUGCCUUUGUAAGUACCUCCUGGCGAGGGGGGAACACAUCGGUUGGGUUAUGUUUGCAGAGUAUAGAACUGUUAGCUUAUGCGCUCUCCCAUCUUCUCUGAUUAGACGAAUGUUGUAGAGUGUCUCUAUAGGUUUUUAGUGCUUGCGCGCUGCCGCUUAACUCCACCAUAUUGCCUAUGACGUUCCUCUUGCGUCCUCUAAGUCCCCUGCGUGCCUCAAGUACAAAGGACGACUGGUUGACGAAUGCUUAUACGUCUUGAAGUCUUGUUAAGUACGAACCCGUACUUAUUGCUGCUUCUACGGGAUAUAACCGGGCAGGUAUGAAGAUAUGUUCGAUGAAGACGACGUUAGCAAGGUUACCCUUCCGUCUUGGCCUGGGCAGGGUUAUGGACGCCGCUGGUUAUCUUCAGGACUCUUAGUCCAAUUUAUAUCUUGUCCGUACUCAGACGUAUUCGAUCUUCUGUAUGAUUUGGAUCUGUGUUGUAUAUUUGUAUCUUGACUCGUUGGAGUCGUUGUUGUAAUAUAUGUCUCUUGUGGGUUCUAUUGUAAUCCUGUUGUAAUGUUACUGCUCGUGUUAAUUCCUCUGGCAUCACGUGUGUGAUUUGUCGCGCACGUCGUGUCGGAGGGCGUCUCUGAAUCGAUAUCAUGCGGAUUUCGGCGGGUUCGCUGGGAUCCUCAGGGUACCGGUUCCGGGGCGUCACACAUAGCCCUUGGAGAUGCUUCCUUCUGGCCUUGCACGGUUACGAGCUUACUUCUUUAAGACUCCCAUGAAUCUCUCAAAGGGGAACAUAUUGUAUAGAAAUACAGGACCGAGAACGCCAAUCUCUUCAACCAGGUGAACUAGGAGAUGUGUCAUAAUAUUGAAGAAGGAUGGUGGGAACAUGAUACGUCCAUUUUGCAUCACUAUUUUAUAUCAUAAUUUACUGUUAUUCAUUGAUAUAUUUCAUAUUUAGAGAUGAUACUUAUGUUAUUUCACCUAUUUUGCAUGUUUCAUGAUUAUUGGAGAAUCACUCACCGGAGUCAGGAUUUUGCUGGAAAAAGCACCGUCAGAAUGCAAUAUUUCUGAAGAUCAACAAUUGACGUAAGUUACACCGAAGGUCUUAUUUCUCCAGAAGAAGGAGCCAGCCAAAAGGAGGGACCGAGGAGGGCCGCCAUGGCCCCCCCCCCAUAGGCCAGCGCGGGCUCCACCCUGGCCGCGCCGCCUUGUGGGGAGGGGGCCCACAGCCCCCUUCGGCUGUCUCUCCUUCGCGUACUUCAUCUACCCGAAAACCUAAGGUGCUGGGAAUAAUCGCGAAGAGUCACAGCCGCCUCUGCGGGGCGGAAAACACCAGAGAGAAAAGAGCUCUCCGACAGGCUGAAAUCCACCGGGGAAAUUCCCUCCCGGAGGGGGAAAUCGUCGCCAUCGUCACCGUCAUCGAGCUAGGCUUCAUUGGAAUCAUCAUCACCAUCAUCUCCACCACCGUCACCGUCAUCUCCACCGCUGCACCUCGUCACCGCUGUAACAUCUAGGGUUGAAUCUUGAUUAUUUCAUAGGGGAAACUCUCCCGGUAUUGAUUACUCCUUGUUAUUGAUGCUAUUGAGUGAAACCAUUGAACCAAGGUUUAUGUUCA